rnacentral:rRNA from 1 species
CCUACGGGUGGCAGCAGUGAGGAAUCUUGGUCAAUGGACGAGAGUCUGACCCAGCCAAGUAGCGUGAAGGAUGACUGCCCUAUUGGUUGUCAACUUCUUUUAUAUGGGAAUAAAAUGUUCCACGUAUGGGAUUUUGUAUGUACCAUAUGAAUUAGGAUUGACUAACUCCGUUCAGGAAGCCGCGGUAAUACGGAGGAUCCGAGCGUUUACCGGAUUUUUUGGGUUUAAAGGGCGCGUAGGUGGAUUGUUAAGUCAGUUGUGAAAGUUUUCGGCUCAACCGGAAAAUUGCAGUUGAAACUGGCAGUCUUGAGUACAGUAGAGGUGGGCGGAAUUCGUGGUGUAGCGGUGAAAUGCUUAGAUAUCACGAAGAACUCCGAUUGCGAAGGCAGCUCACUGGACUGCAACUUACACUGAGGCUCGAAAGUGUGGGGAUCGAACAGGAUUAGAUACCCUUGUAGUC